rnacentral:misc_RNA from 1 species
ACGGAUUGCAGAGGCUGCUGGAUGUGAGAGAGGCUUGUUCCUCUUCUAGGUUUACUGAUAAGGAGAGUAUCAGCUGCGAUGCUAACUCAUCUAAUCUCCAGCACUUGCGAAUUGAUUGGUGCCCCUCUCUUACUUUCUUAGGGGAGUUACCUGCUUCUCUUAAAGUUCUGGCUUUCGAUUGUAACAUACAUUACAACGUAAGUGUAAAGUUAGAGUCAAUAGCUGAAAGGUUGGAAAACAACUCAUCUCUUGAAUCUAUUAAAAUUGGGCGUCUUCCAGAUCUUAAAUCCUUGCCCGAGAACCUUCACAUGCUCACCAAUCUCCACCACAUUUGGAUACAUAACUGUUCAAGUGUUGUUUCUUUUCCUCAGGGAGGGUUGCCCGCUAACCAUCUGAAAGAACUUACAGUUGAAUAUUGUGAGAAACUCCAGACCCUUCCUGAUAACAUGCACAAUCUCACAUCUCUUCAAGAAUUGACCAUAAAGAAUUGUCCAAGUGUUGUUUCUUUCUCUGAGGGGGGGUUGCCCACCACCCAUUUCAAAGAACUUACAGUUGAAGACUCUGCGAAACUUGAGACCCUUCCUGAUAACAUUCACAAUCUCACAUCUCUUCAAAACUUGACUUUAAAGAGUUGCCCAGUAUCCUUUCCAGAAGAAGGUUUCCCCAUCAACCUGACAUCACUUUGCAUUCAUAACGUGGAGAUCUGUAUCCCUUUGUUUAACUGGGGUUUGCACAGGCUCACCUCUCUCAAGAAACUCAGUAUUACAGGCAAAUGUCAUCGUAUGGUGUCCUUUCCACAGGAUGAGAUAGAUAUGAAGUUGCCUGCCUCUCUUACCAGCCUUACCAUUGAAGGAUUCCAAGACCUAAAAUACCUUUCCAGCAAGGGUUUUCAAAGCCUCACGUCACUUGAAUAUCUGGUGAUCAAGAAAUGCCCUAAACUUGCCUCCUUUCCAAAGAAUGGCCUGCCUUCCUCUGUUUUGAGCUUGUAUAUCACAAACUGCCCUCAACUUGAGCAGAAGUGCCUGAAGGGUAAAGGGCAAGAGUUGCUAGAAUUAGCCCGCAUUCCAGAGGUGAAAAUUGGACAUGAUAGUCAGAAAGAACGCGAGCUACAUUAUGCAUUUUCAUGAUCUAUGCUUCUUUCUUUAUUUUUCUUUUUUUAUUUAUUUCUUUAACGUUGCAUAUAGUGAUAAAAAUGGAACAGAAAAAUGUUAACAAUUGUUUGCUUUUUCAACUUCCAAUUUAUAUCUCAAUAAUGUCAUGUAUGCAAGUCAGAAUAAACAUGGCUUGCUUGUUUCAGAUCUGUUUUUCAAUUAUUUAAGAUUUACCUUGCUUUGU